rnacentral:piRNA from 1 species
UCUCCAGAGUCUGACUUAUGUCCACAAUA